UCAGUAUAGCAGUUGCUGAUGUGAGUCAGUCUUCGCCGUUUUGUUGUAUACUAUUCACUGGUUAGGCACACAGUGCAUGCAUCUGGCCAGGCACACAGUACAAUCAUGUAUCUGGUUUAGGCGCGCUCACACUGCGACCAAAACCAGCGUCCAUGCGGCCAUACGGCAUACGCUUGAUCAAAACGUCGCGGCCAUGUUUCAAAUCGUUACCGCGACCUCCAGAGGGGGGUGCCACGACUUGGCGGCAACAUGAUCGUAGACGUGAAGCGUAUUCCUGUACAACCUGGCCUGAAGUAUGGUAAAUUAUUUCUCAAAUUCUGGUUGGUUGAUUCAUGAAACUCGGCGGUUUUCGAUGUCAUCCUUGAUAUUUGGACAUUUAAUUGCAACAUGCGAAAUUUACAUCCAAAACGGGCCAAAACUUUAUUAGGAAACGCACGAACUAUUUUGGAUACGAACUGCAAUUCGUAAAGUUUGUGUGACAACUUCACGUCUACGCGUGUACGAGGCCUAGUGUGAGCACGACUGCCACGUUUCUGCGUUUUGCUGACGCAUGGACGCAUGCUCAUGGUCGCAGUGUGAGCGCGCCCUAAGGCACACAGUACAUGUAUCUGGUUGCGUCCACUAACUACCGUAUUUUCCAGAGUAUAGUGCGCACUUUAGAUGUGCUAUUUUAGGCCCUAAAUUGCAGGUGCGCACUAUACUCCGAAAAAUACGGUAAUCGCAUCCAUGCUUUCAGAAAAAGCUCAAAAGUUGCUAACAUACCAACUUGAAAUUGAAGAGUUCUUGUACCGCAACACUGCCAAAAAAAGGAGCAAGAAUAGCAGAAGUGGAGCGACAGCAAACUUGUGCACCCCUUCCUGCUGUGAACCACAACUUUGCACAGUGCCAGUAGCCGUUCCAGUGCACGGAAAAGGGAAUGCACAUUAUCGUAACUACCGUUGAUCUACUGUUUCUCUGAAAUGAGUCUGAAGGCAGGCGAGAAAUGAGCGAGUAUGCAUUUGUCCGACAUGUAGUCUGUGACUUGACCUUUUGACCCUAUGCCAUGGAGCCAAGGUUGCGGAAAAGUUGCGGAAUAGUUCGCGAACAUGAAGAAAGUUGCAAAAGUUGCUAUUUCUUCCUAAACAACGAAUUGUUGUGAAAAACGUGGCGAGCAUCUUUGGGAAAGAGCUAAUCGGUAAUCCUAGCUGCUUUUGAAAAUGCAGAUUGUAGUGCUCCUAAAAACAGUCCUCUAGUGUAUUCUAAAGUGUAGGAAGUCUGCCGGUGUAUAUCUGUGUGUGUGUGUGUGUGUGUAUAUCUGUGUGUGUGUGUGUGUCACGUUUGUUUGUGUGUGUGUGUGUGUUUGUGUGUGUGUGAGAGAGAGAGAGAGAGAGAGAGAGAGAGAGAGAGUAAUUUACAUUUAUAAAGACAAGUAAGUCUAACAAAUGAGGACUGAGACCUCUACAACAGGGUUUUUACGCCUGAAAGCAGGUGCAUGAUUUAACAAGCAGGUUGUCAGUCUAGAUUUUAUGCGCAGAUGGAGAAAAAAUGCGCAGAAUUUUUGUAAUGAGAUGAAA